GACAGAGGGUGCAAGCGUUGUUCGGAAUUAUUGGGCGUAAAGGGCGCGUAGGCGGCCUACCAAGUCGGAUGUGAAAGCCCAGGGCUCAACCCUGGAAGUGCAUCCGAAACUGAUAGGCUAGAGUUCACGGAGAGGGUGGCGGAAUUCCCAGUGUAGAGGUGAAAUUCGUAGAUAUUGGGAGGAACACCAGUGGCGAAGGCGGCCACCUGGACGGAAACUGACGCUGAGGCGCGAGAGCGUGGGUAGCAAACAGG
rnacentral:rRNA from 1 species